rnacentral:lncRNA from 13 species
UCAACAUGAAAUAUACAACAGCUAUAUAGACCGCUACAAAUAGCAUCUAGCUAUAUAGCCGUUGCACGUACUUGUUUACUUUGUGGUACCACGUUCGCUUCCCAGCCAUAGAGCUGAAGAGGUUUUGCCAGCAGCAAAUUUGGUCCGAAUGAGAAUCACAUUACAAGCGAUCAGCUUUCGAGAACGGAAAUAAAAGACAGGGGAGGACACAGCUGCGAAUGAACAUGGCCUCUGUACCUUACGGAUGAAGACAUAAGAGUAAAGUGACGCUCUGGAGCUUUCGUAUCAUUUCUGCCCGCAGUUCUGAAAGUUAGUGCUCACCA